GAAAGCCCCCGGCUCAACCGGGGAGGGUCAUUGGAAACUGGGGAACUUGAGUGCAGAAGAGGAGAGUGGAAUUCCACGUGUAGCGGUGAAAUGCGUAGAGAUGUGGAGGAACACCAGUGGCGAAGGCGACUCUCUGGUCUGUAACUGACGCUGAGGCGCGAAAGCGUGGGGAGCGAACAGGAUUAGAUACCCUGGUAGUCCACGCCGUAAACGAUGAGUGCUAAGUGUUAGAGGGUUUCCGCCCUUUAGUGCUGCAGCAAACGCAUUAAGCACUCCCCCUGGGGAGUACGGUCGCAAGACUGAAACUCAAAGGAAUUGACGGGGGCCCGCACAAGCGGUGGAGCGUGUGGUUUAAUUCUAAGCAACGCGAACAACCUUACCAGGUCUUGACAUCCUCUGACAACCCUAGAGAUAGGGCUUCCCCUUCGGGGGCAGAGUGACAGGUGGUGC
rnacentral:rRNA from 2 species